rnacentral:rRNA from 1 species
UACAGAGGUCUCAAGCGUUGUUCGGAUUCAUUGGGCGUAAAGGGUGCGUAGGUGGCUUGGUAAGUUGAAGGUGAAAUCUCGGAGCUCAACUCCGAAACUGCCUUCAAUACUGCCGGGCUCGAGGACUGUAGAGGAGAAUGGAAUUCACGGUGUAGCAGUGAAAUGCGUAGAUAUCGUGAGGAAGACCAGUGGCGAAGGCGGAUCUCUGGGCCUUGCCUGACGCUGAGACGCGAAAGCGUGGGGAGCAAACAGG